GAUGAACGCUGGCGGCGUGCUUAACACAUGCAAGUCGAACGGGAAAUACUUUAUUGAAACUUCGGUCGAUUUAAUUUAUUUCUAGUGGCGGACGGGUGAGUAACGCGUGGGUAACCUGCCUUAUACUGGGGGAUAACAGCCAGAAAUGACUGCUAAUACCGCAUAAGCGCACAGAACCGCAUGGUUCGGUGUGAAAAACUCCGGUGGUAUAAGAUGGACCCGCGUUGGAUUAGCUAGUUGGCAGGGCAGCGGCCUACCAAGGCGACGAUCCAUAGCCGGCCUGAGAGGGUGAACGGCCACAUUGGGACUGAGACACGGCCCAGACUCCUACGGGAGGCAGCAGUGGGGAAUAUUGCACAAUGGGGGAAACCCUGAUGCAGCGACGCCGCGUGAAGGAAGAAGUAUCUCGGUAUGUAAACUUCUAUCAGCAGGGAAGAUAAUGACGGUACCUGACUAAGAAGCC
rnacentral:rRNA from 1 species